GAAUCCCGUCUUUGGCACGGAUGUACCAGGGCUUUCGUGAUGCGCUCUCGAAGAGUCGAGUUGUUUGGGAAUGCAGCUCAAAAUGGGUGGUGAACUCCAUCUAAAGCUAAAUAUUGGCGAGAGACCGAUAGCGAACAAGUACCGUGAGGGAAAGAUGAAAAGCACUUUGGAAAGAGAGUGAAACAGUACGUGAAAUUGCUGAAAGGGAAACGCUUCAAGUCAGUCACGUCGGCUAGAAAUCAGCCUUGCUUCUGCUUGGUGUACUUUCUGGUUGACGGGUCAGCAUCAAUUUUGACCAUUGGAUAAGGUCUUUGGGAAUGUGGCAUCUUUUUUUAGAUGUGUUAUAGCCCAUUGUCGCAUACGGUGGUUGGGAUUGAGGAACUCAGCAUGCCCUGCAAGGGGCCAGGUUUCGACCAUGUUCAUGCUUAGGAUGCUGGCAUAAUGGCUUCAAUCGACCCGUCUUGAAACACGGACCAAGGAGUCUAACAUGCCUGCGAGUGUUUGGGUGGAAAACCCAUGCGCGCAAUGAAAGUGAAAGGUUGAGAUCUCUGUAAAGGGAGAGCAUCGACGCCCAGACCAGACCUUCUGUGACGGAUCUGCGGUAGAGCAUGUAUGUUGGGACCCGAAAGAUGGUGAACUAUGCCUGAAUAGGGUGAAGCCAGAGGAAACUCUGGUGGAGGCUCGUAGCGAUUCUGACGUGCAAAUCGAUCGUCAAAUUUGGGUAUAGGGGCGAAAGACUAAUCGAACCAUCUAGUAGCUGGUUCCUGCC
rnacentral:rRNA from 1 species